UCCAGGCUGGUCUCAAACUCCUGACCUCAUGAUCUGCCCGCCUCAGCCUCCCUAAGUGUUGGGAUUACAGGCAUGAGCCACCAAGCCCGGCCCUUUCCUAUGCUUAGAUGCACAAAUACUGUGUUUCGGUUGCUUACAGUAUUCAGUACAGUAACACUGUACAGGUUUGUAGCCUAGGUGUGUGUAGUAGGCUAUACCAUCUAGGUUUGUAUAAGCACAUUCUUAUGAUUGUACAAAGAUGAAAUUGUCUAACAACACAUUUCUCAGAACCUAGCCCUGUGGUUAAGUGACGCAUGGCUGCAUAUAACAUUUAGUGGGGGGGUGUAAAAUAGGUGGAACUC
rnacentral:lncRNA from 10 species